rnacentral:rRNA from 1 species
AUUGAACGCUGGCGGCAUGCCUUACACAUGCAAGUCGAACGGCAGCACGGGUGCUUGCCCCUGGUGGCGAGUGGCGAACGGGUGAGUAAUACAUCGGAACAUGUCCUGUAGUGGGGGAUAGCCCGGCGAAAGCCGGAUCAAUACCGCAUACGAUCCACGGAUGAAAGCGGGGGACCUUCGGGCCUCGCGCUAUAGGGUUGGCCGAUGGCUGAUUAGCUAGUUGGUGGGGUAAAGGCCUACCAAGGCGACGAUCAGUAGCUGGUCUGAGAGGACGACCAGCCACACUGGGACUGAGACACGGCCCAGACUCCUACGGGAGGCAGCAGUGGGGAAUUUUGGACAAUGGGCGAAAGCCUGAUCCAGCAAUGCCGCGUGUGUGAAGAAGGCCUUCGGGUUGUAAAGCACUUUUGUCCGGAAAGAAAUCCUUGACUCUAAUACAGUCGGGGGAUGACGGUACCGGAAGAAUAAGCACCGGCUAACUACGUG